CGGAAGUUACUAAGUUGUUACUUUGACUUUGGCAAAUCAAGCCACUCGCUCGCACGCACGCACUUUCUUCUCUUCUCUUCCUUAUGACCAACCAAAUCGGUAAUCUCCAUCUUUCUUUUUAAUUAAUCAUCUUUCCAAAUUUCAAUCUUGUUUUAUCGAUCGGUGAAUGAAACAAUAUCAAUUUUCUUUUGUUCUUCUUUAAUUCAUCUGUUCCAGUUUUUUUUAUAAUUUUAUUAUUCUAAUUUUUGUAGAUCUGGAUCGAGAGAGAGAGAUAUGUAUCAAAACAUAACCUGUGGGUGGAAAUUAAAGAGGCGAUUUUUCAAGAUAUGUAUCAAAACCAAUACUUGUUUUACGGGAUCCAAGUCAUCAUCAUCAUCAAGUAUGUUUGUAAUUUUCCUUUACCAUUUAUCAAUUGUAUUAUUAUUAUAAUAUGUCACUGGAUUUGGUGUUUUGUUAUUCAUUCAUUCUUUAAUUUUUCGAAUAAUAAUCUUCUAUUUAUUCGCCUGUGGUCAUUUUGCAUCUCCCCCUUUUGCACAAUAUGAAGAUCCGGAUGGAUGAGAUCCACAGCCAAGUUUAAAAAACUGAAAAGGUAAAUUCUGUCAUAUUUAUUUAUAGUUGAUAAGUGCUCAAUUUUAGUUAUAAUGUUUGAUAAAUAUGAGCACUUACCAAUACUUUUAUAAAGAAAUCUUGAUUAAAAACCCCUUUUGGGUGUAAAUAUAACAUUAAAUCAAAGAAGAAGUAAUCCCAAGGCAUUUUUGUUAGGAAUGGCUAGAAAAGCAGGUUUUUGAAGCCUUCGCUCAGCGAAGCCAUAGCGAGCUACAGCGAACUAAACCAGUGGGUUAAGGGUCCAUGGCGAGCUUCAGCGAGAUACAGCGAACAGGACAGCAAACUCAACGUUCGCUCAGCGAAAGUUAGCGAGAGAUGGCGAGCACAACCC
rnacentral:lncRNA from 1 species